GAAGUCGCUAGUGUUCAUGGCGAUCAUGUCGGCAGUGAACUGGCAGGAGAAAUGGUACUUGUGAUCCAUUUCUCUCCACUUGACAUCAGAAUCCUCGUACUUUGUCUUCUCAAGAGCAUGUGCGAUCGUUCCCUGUCAGUUGAUGAAUUUUUCAGUAACGUGAUGUCAGAUUUGGAUGGUGACAGAAGAACAGGUUUCAGAUUUCCAUUUUGAUGGCUCAUUUUCACCUGGGUGACUCCUAGUUUGCUCGACAAGAGGGACGCUACUAAAUUGCCAUCGGUGUAAUUGCCAAUGACCAUGUCUGGCUUCCCCUCCAGAAUGUCAAGAAUCUUGACAGAAGAAUCCUGAAACCACCACGAUAAAGGUAAGGGUAAAUGUCAAACCGGGAGACCCACUGGCGAAGAUCCUUCCCAUCAUCAGUCUUGAAUGGCACACGGAGGAUGCUCGAGUGCUUCGUGUGCUCGACUGGUUCAAGCUCAACGUUGCACUUGGUGCCCUUUGCGUCCGGUAUGAGUCUUGUUAACUGCAAGAUGUUCGAGCAGCUGUCAGAAGCUUCCUCGUUGCAGUGUUAGGUCAUGGUAGUUUAAUGAAGGCGGUCGCAGUUUACCACGAGAAUCUUGGGGGUAACAUUCAGGCCCUGCUUCCUGAUUCUUUGCAGAAGUUCCUCUUCAAGAGCUCUAACUUGGUCCAGGAUGUAAACCACCUGUCAAGGAAAGACUGAAAUGUUGGCUUCUGUUUCAAGCAUUGAGACCUGUGGAUUUAGGGUUAUAUCUUCCAUUAUCAUUCUGGAUAAUGAUCGCUGUACCUGACCGCCGGUAUCUGGCAACCCAAGGACCUUCUCUUGACCAAAGUAACCGUGGAUGGAGAAGAUCACGAUGCUGAACACCGACGGCACCCUGCUGAAGAACUUCUCCAUGUUGAUCGGAUCCGGCGCCUGGAGCACUUCCGAGAGGAAGUUGAGUGUUUCUCUGCAUGUUUCGGCAGUGUCACCCCACCCCUUCUCAAAGCCCCACUCCUGAAACCUGCAACGGCCGGCCGGCGACCAUAUCAUCGAUCGGUCAGGCCGGCGACGAAGACCUCCGCGAGAAGCAACGCCGUCUGAAGCUUGUCGGCGGUGUCGAGGGUGUCGCUGAUCAUCAGUUUCUGCAUGAAAGUGAGGAGAGGCCCAGGUCAUUCUACCAUCGACACUGACCAUGCCGAAUGGAACGAUCAGUCAACAUGCAUGCAUGCUUAGGUGUUUCUUACCUCGCCGCGGUAGUUCAGUGCGAGCAGGUAGUCCAGCAGCGGCUUCAUGCUCUCCGGCUUGCCGCUCAGCUUGGAGGACAUGAACCGGGAGACGAACUGCAUCC